rnacentral:rRNA from 1 species
CGCGGCCUAUCAGCUUGUUGGUGGGGUAAUGGCCUACCAAGGCAACGACGGGUAGCUGGUCUGAGAGGAUGAUCAGCCACACUGGGACUGAGACACGGCCCAGACUCCUACGGGAGGCAGCAGUGGGGAAUCUUGCGCAAUGGGCGAAAGCCUGACGCAGCAACGCCGCGUGCGGGAUGAAGGCCUUCGGGCUGUAAACCGCUUUCAGCAGGAACGAAAAUGACGGUACCUGCAGAAGAAGGAGCGGCCAACUACGUGCCAGCAGCCGCGGUGACACGUAGGCUCCAAGCGUUGUCCGGAUUUAUUGGGCGUAAAGAGCUCGUAGGCGGUUGAGUAAGUCGGGUGUGAAAACUCUGGGCUUAACCCGGAGACGCCAUCCGAUACUGCUCUGACUAGAGUUCAGGAGGGGAGUGGGGAAUUCCUAGUGUAGCGGUGAAAUGCGCAGAUAUUAGGAGGAACACCGGUGGCGAAGGCGCCACUCUGGACUGAAACUGACGCUGAGGAGCGAAAGCAUGGGUAGCAAACAGGAUUAGAUACCCUGGUAGUCCAUGCCGUAAACGGUGGGCACUAGGUGUGGGUUCCAACUAACGGGAUCCGCGCCGUCGCUAACGCAUUAAGUGCCCCGCCUGGGGAGUACGG